GACGAACGCUGGCGGCGUGCUUAACACAUGCAAGUCGAACGGUAAGGCCCUUCGGGGUACACGAGUGGCGAACGGGUGAGUAACACGUGGGUGAUCUGCCCUGCACUUCGGGAUAAGCCUGGGAAACUGGGUCUAAUACCGGAUAGAACUCCUGGCUUCAUGGUUGGGGGUGGAAAGCUUUUGCGGUGUGGGAUGGGCCCGCGGCCUAUCAGCUUGUUGGGGGGGUAAUGGCCUACCAAGGCGACGACGGGUAGCCGGCCUGAGAGGGUGACCGGUCACACUGGGACUGAGAUACGGCCCAGACUCCUACGGGAGGCAGCAGUGGGGAAUAUUGCACAAUGGGCGCAAGCCUGAUGCAGCGACGCCGCGUGAGGGAUGACGGCCUUCGGGUUGUAAACCUCUUUCAGCUAUGACGAAGCGCAAGUGACGGUAGUAGCAGAAGAAGGACCGGCCAACUACGUGACAGCCGCCGCAGUAA
rnacentral:rRNA from 1 species